GUCGCUACUACCGAUUGAAUGGCUCGGUGAGGCCUUCGGACUGGCUCAGGAGGGUUGGCAACGACCCCCCCGAGCCGGAAAGUUGGUCAAACCCGGUCAUUUAGAGGAAGUAAAAGUCGUAACAAGGUUUCC
rnacentral:rRNA from 1 species